rnacentral:rRNA from 1 species
CUACGGGGGGCAGCAGUGGGGAAUUUUGCGCAAUGGGGGCAACCCUGACGCAGCAAUACCGCGUGAGUGAAGAAGGCCUUUGGGUCGUAAAGCUCUUUUCUAAGGGAAGAUAGUGACGGUACCUUAGGAAUAAGCACCGGCUAACUCCGUGCCAGCAGCCGCGGUAAUACGGAGGGUGCGAGCGUUGUUCGGAUUUACUGGGCGUAAAGGGCGCGUAGGCGGCUUAGCAAGUUAAGGGUGAAAUCCCGGGGCUCAACCCCGGAACUGCUCUUAAAACUGCUAAGCUAGAGAUGGUCAGAGGCGGGUGGAAUUCCAGGUGUAGAGGUGAAAUUCGUAGAUAUCUGGAGGAACACCGGUGGCGAAGGCGGCCCGCUGGGGCCAUUCUGACGCUGAUGCGCGAAGGCGUGGGGAGCGAACGGGAUUAGAUACCCCAGUAGUC